CUUUGAGACAUUAUAUUCUGCUUAAAACCAUCUAAUCUUUUAUUAAUGCCUGGUGUCCUAAAAGUAACUUCAAACUUCAGCAAUGCAGCUGAGAAGGCUUGAAGAACAGCCGUCUGACAUCCAAAGGAUUCUGAACUUUCAAGCCAGUGCUACAAAUAUGCAGGUGGCAUUCAUAAAUUAGAAUUUUCUAAACAGGGCCCUUGGAACUGGUGCAUUCAUACAGUGCAGUCACAGAGACUGGCCAAAUUCAAGAGGCACAGCUAUUCCCCGCAUGGAGAGCGCCACCAUGUACCUGCUUGCCAUAGAGCUGAAGCUGAGGAACCUGCCAGGAAAAAGAGGGAUGUGCUCCGCUUCUCCUCGAACCGGAGAAGCAGGAGUGGAGCGGGGGGCUUCGCCUACCCUUAAGGCGGAGGCGAAGAGAAUUGG